AGAUGAUUAACCAACUGAGCCACCCAGGCGCCCCGUUCUCUUCAGGUGGCUUAUCUGUGUGACUUCUCAUUCAACCUCUCUUCGUCUAUUUCUUGUGCUCCAGCAAGACCCUGAGAAGCUGCUGUUGCCAACCUGUGUGACAUAGCCACACUAUUGUGAACGGGGUUUUCCUUUUUGCCCCAAAAGAAGAAAGAGGAGAGAGCACAAACAGGAAGAUGCCA